GAGUUUGAUUAUGGCUCAGAUUGAACGCUGGCGGCAUGCUUUACACAUGCAAGUCGGACGGCAGCACGGGUGCUUGCACCUGGUGGCGAGUGGCGAACGGGUGAGUAAUGCAUUGGAACGUACCGAGUAGUGGGGGAUAACUGUCCGAAAGGAUAGCUAAUACCGCAUACGACCUCAGGGUGAAAGCAGGGGACCUUAGGGCCUUGCGCUAUUUGAGCGGCCAAUGUCUGAUUAGCUGGUUGGUGGGGUAAAGGCCUACCAAGGCGACGAUCAGUAGCGGGUCUGAGAGGAUGAUCCGCCACACUGGGACUGAGACACGGCCCAGACUCCUACGGGAGGCAGCAGUGGGGAAUUUUGGACAAUGGGCGCAAGCCUGAUCCAGCCAUGCCGCGUGUCUGAAGAAGGCCUUCGGGUUGUAAAGGACUUUUGUACGGGAAGAAAAGGUUGUGGAUAAUACCCAUGACUGAUGACGGUACCGUAAGAAUAAAGCACUG
rnacentral:rRNA from 1 species